rnacentral:rRNA from 1 species
UACGUAGGGUGCAAGCGUUAAUCGGAAUUACUGGGCGUAAAGCGUGCGCAGGCGGUUAUGUAAGACAGAUGUGAAAUGCCCGGGCUUAACCUGGGAACUGCAUUUGUGACUGCAUGGCUAGAGUUUGGCAGAGGGGGUAGAAUUCCACGUGUAGCAGUGAAAUGCGUAGAUAUGUGGAGGAACACCGAUGGCGAAGGCAGCCCCCUGGGUCAAGACUGACGCUCAUGCACGAAAGCGUGGGGAGCAACAGGAUAGAGUACCC